CUCCUCCUUUAUGAGAUUUUUGUUGGAACUGUGAAUUCAGUCAAGUCUUCGAGUAUCUUCCAUGUUCUGAUUUGUUUGGUUGUCUUGGAGCACAUCUCUCCACGUUUGGUGUUGUUGUUUGCUUUGAUGGAGCACUUCUCUCCAUGUUUGUUGUUGGUGGAGCACAUCUCUCCAACUCUUUCAUGGAGCCCUUCUCUCCAAUGCUUUGAUUUCUGGUGCACUUCUCACCAUUUUUCUCCUUCUUUUGGGUGCACUUGCUCACCAUUGUUCUUCUUUCUCUGGUGCACUAUCUCACCAGCAAAGUUUCUUUCUUCAAAACAAAAUUUCUCUUCUUGGAACAACCCUCCUCCUGCAGGCUAUCAUGGACUUGUUUUAAUUAUAUAGCUGCUGCCAUUCAAUCCUUGUCAAGAACAAAUUCUAACCAGCUACCUCAAGAUCAAAAAGCUCUGAUACCAUUUGUUGGAUUUGGAGGAAGAAAAAACUAAGAAAUUUAAGAGAGAUUUAUGCUGGAACAAGUAGGAGAAAGAAAACCAUAAAUUCAUCACCAAAAUAGAGGAUUAACAUAUACAAAUUCAAAGAUUUUUUUUUUUGCUUUUCUUUCUCAUUUUCUUAACUCUCUAAAACUCUCUUUCUAGCUCUUUCAAAGUCUCUCUGCUCUCUUUCCUUCCAGCAGCAACUCUCUUGCUUUCUUUUGUAAACCAAUGCCAUACUUGCACCAUGCUUAGGUAUGGCUCUUUUCUUUACUUGUACACAUAGAGUUUGACCAACUGAAUCUCAUCAACUCCAACAGAUUGGUAUUCAGACUAGCUUACUGGAUAUCAAUCAGUGCCCAAAAAUAUUCAGAUUUAGAGAGCUCCUCUAAUUCAUUAUUUGUCAGCUUGCCAUCACUACAUGCUAGAAAGCAGAAUGCAGGGUUGAUUACUUGAGUCUUAAAGCAGCCUUUAGGGGUUUAGAAUAAAAUGCUGCUCUCUGAAGAACCAAAAUUAACUAAACAUGCUUCCAUUUUGAAGAAAGUAUACCCACACAAACAUCAAUUUCCUGCAUCAUUGGGAUGGGCAUUGCUUUCAGAUCUCUAAGGUACCUGGAUUCAAUGGCAUUUCUUUUGUUGCUUCAGUUCUGAGUGUCUUUUCUUUGCUAUCAAGACUUCUAUUUAUCGGAAGAGACCCGUAUCUAUAUCAAUGCAAGGGAUGUGGGAAAUGAUGGACCAAUAAUCUCCUUUGUUUUUUGAGCACCGUUCUUUUAGGAGAGGACAUGAGCAGAUCCUUAGCAAUUGAAGUGUGGAGGGGGAAGCCCUCCUUUGGCAAGGACGGAACUUUUGGGCAAUUCUUAAUAGCUAAGGUUUUUAGAGAGUUGAGAUUUUGGAGUCCCCUCGAGAUGGAUUUCAGAUUCUUGAGUUCACAGAUGUGAAGACGGGUCAGUGAAGUUGGAAGCAAUAGACCAUCAUUAUCUGGAAAGGAAUCAAGCAUACUUGUACUUGGACUUGUGCCAGACAUUUUAAAGUUUUCAAGAUAGUUCAGUCUAUGGAGUCCUUGGCUGUGUCAGAUUCUUGCAGUCCCAGAUCCAAAGAAAGGUUAAAUUUGGUGGCAAACCCUCGUCUGGGAAGGACACCAGGCCACAAUUUUUUAUAAGAAAAGGUUGAAGAGAGGUGAGGUUUUUAAUUGGAUUAGGCAGUGAUCUCAAAUCCUUGCAACCACAAAUGUUUAAAGAGGUAAGAGUGUGCAUAACCAAUGUUGUUUCUGGGAAUGGAUUCAAAAGCGGACAGUAUCCAAUUUCUAACUUUUGAAGACGAGAUAAGCCACAGCAUAGCGACUCUAAUAAUUGUGUAUGCCAAUUACAAAAGUUGAUACAAAGAGUCUUGAGUGAAUCAGGAAAUAUGCCAUUGGAAAUGUACCUCAGAAUCUGACCAUCAAUUUCCAAUUCCUCGAGCUGAGACAUGUGACCGUUGUCAUUACCAUGAUGCAUAACACUAACACCCUCACGCAGAGACUCCAGAGAAUCACACCAUCCAAUAUGAAGACGUCUGAUACCAUAUGGUACACCUGUUGCUGGGAAUGACAAGAGUUUUCUACAGAAUUUGAUGGUCAAAUCUCUGAGAGAUGUGAGGCUGUGCAG
rnacentral:misc_RNA from 1 species